rnacentral:lncRNA from 1 species
CUCCCAUCCUGUCAGUUAUUAACGUUUCACCCAUGUCUGUCUUCUAGCUAAGAGAAGCUGAACAUCACAAGGAGAGAACCAUUUGAUGGAAGAAAAGAAAAAGAAAAAGCAAGAAGAGACAAAGAAGGAUACUGCGCAGAAAACGGUUACUGAACAGAAAACCAAAGUGCCAGACUCUGUUAAACCCAAUCCCAGCAUCCCUUCAAGCCCCAUUCUGACCCUGAACCUGCCUGUACCCUCUGCUGCCACCACCAGCAAUGGCAAGCGUAGCCCUUGUAAUUGCCUACAACAGCAGUUACCUCCAUUACAGCAGCCCAGUCCCCGAUAUGUGCCCAGAGAGGUUCCUCCACGCUUCCGACAGCAGGAGCAGAGGCAGCUACUGAAGAGGGGUCAACCUUUACCUACAGGCGCUCUAAACCCGACCUCUGCUUGCACUCAGUCCGGGGUCAUCUCCCCUCCCGAGACGCCCACCAGCAAACGGCACACGGGUGAGAAUCAUGUUCUGUUUUUGAAGGA